rnacentral:rRNA from 1 species
AUUGAACGCUGGCGGCAUGCUUUACACAUGCAAGUCGAACGGUAACAGGCCGCAAGGUGCUGACGAGUGGCGAACGGGUGAGUAAUGCAUCGGAACGUGCCCAGUCGUGGGGGAUAACGCAGCGAAAGCUGUGCUAAUACCGCAUACGAUCUAUGGAUGAAAGCGGGGGACCGUAAGGCCUCGCGCGAUUGGAGCGGCCGAUGUCAGAUUAGGUAGUUGGUGGGGUAAAGGCCUACCAAGCCGACGAUCUGUAGCUGGUCUGAGAGGACGACCAGCCACACUGGGACUGAGACACGGCCCAGACUCCGACGGGAGGCAGCAGUGGGGAAUUUUGGACAAUGGGCGCAAGCCUGAUCCAGCAAUGCCGCGUGCAGGAAGAAGGCCUUCGGGUUGUAAACUGCUUUUGUACGGAACGAAACGGUCUGGGUUAAUACCCUGGGCUAAUGACGGUACCGUAAGAAUAAGCACCGGCUAACUACGUGCCAGCCGCCGCAGUAAUAC